AUGGAAGGUCCACCCAUAGAAAUACACCUUGACCCGGCGGCAACGCCAAAGACGUGCCACACCGCGGCGGCCUUGCCUUUGCAUUGGCAACAGAGGGUGCAUUACGACCUACUUCAGGACGAGUUCCUGGGCGUCAUCGAACGUGUCCCGUAUGGCGAACCAGUGACCUGGUGCCACCGGAUGGUGGUCAUCCGGAAGCACGACGGAACCCCCUGCAGAACCGUCAAUAUCUCACCUCUUAACAAAUUCUGCAAACGUGAGACUUUCGCAACCGAGUCACCAUUCCACCUGGUGCGCCGGAUCCCGAAAGGGACCUGGAAGACUGUCACUGACGCCUGGAAUGGGUAUCACAGCGUGCCUCUGCGCAAGUCAAACCGUCAUCUCACUACCUUCAUCACUCCCUUCGGCCGCUGGCGUUACACCAGAGUCCCACAGGGCUUUCUGUUGUCUGGCGAUGGCUACAAUCGCCGCUUUUAUGCGAUCCUCUCCGACUUUGAACGGAAGGAAAGGUGCGUGGAUGACACCAUCCACUAUGACACUCAUUGGUGGAGAACAAUCGACUUCCUGACGCACAUUGGCCGAUCCAACAUCGUGCUGAACCCAUCAAAGUUUCAAUUUGCUGAGAGGGACAGUGAUUUUGCUGGUUUCAGGGUCUCUGAUGGUACAAUCGAGCCCCUCCCGAAGUACCUGACAGCCAUCAGGGACUUCCCCACGCCUACCUCGACCAUGGACAUCAGGAGCUGGUUUGGUCUGGUCAAUCAGGUAGCCAACUACGCACAGCUGCGUGACAUAAUGGCGCCAUUUAAACCCUUUCUGAGCCCUCGAUGCAAAUUUAUGUGGUCACCCGAGUUAGAGGCAGUAUUUCAGGCAUCCAAGCUGGCCAUCGUGGACUCUAUCCGGGCAGGCGUAGAGAUCUACGACAUGGAGAGGCGCACUUGCCUCCGCCCAGACUGGUCCAGGCGCGGCAUUGGAUACUUCCUCCUCCAGCAGCACUGCACCUGCAGCUCCGGUGUCCCUGGCUGCUGUCCGGAUGGAUGGAAAAUUACUCUGGCCGGCUCACGCUUUCUCUCCUCCGUUGAGCAGCGAUAG
rnacentral:lncRNA from 1 species